rnacentral:lncRNA from 1 species
UCAGAACCUGCAAAACAGCUGCUAUAGAUUUCUGGUAAGUGGCAUGUAAUCCCAGCAAUGUAAUCCUGGCUCUUGUAAGGUCAACAUUACAAAGACUCAAAGCUUUUAUAAGGGUCAUAUUUUCAUAGCUCUGACUGCUUCUUAAGAAUGAAUUCAGGAUCAGAGAGAACAAGAAGGUUUAUUCCUGAGAGGACAUGCUAGCUGGUUUCUUGCUGAAAGAAACCAUCCAGUGUGAAACAAGGUCCUGUAACAGAUGGUCAUUCCCUCUUCAUGAAAACAGAAGAGGUUACUUCCUACAACUUAACCUGAAUUCCAAGUAAGGUAAGGGAGUUACUACCCAUCCUUAUUCAGCACUAGCAAUAGUCCAUCAUUGUUAGACUUCUCAGGUUGAGUCCCUCUAAAGAUAACCUUAGUGCUUCCUGUCUUUCAGAGCUCCUCUAACUACUACUUCA